AUUCCAAUUCCAGUAUAUAAACCUGUACCAAAGCCAUUUCCAGUGUAUAAACCUAUACCAAAGCCAGUUCCAGUUCCAGUGUACAAGCCUAUUCCAAAGCCAGUGUAUAAGCCUAUUCCAAAGCCAGUUCCAGUGUACAAGCCUAUACCAAAGCCAGUUCCAGUUCCAGUGUAUAAGCCUAUUCCAAAGCCAGUGUACAAGCCUAUUCCGAAGCCAGUGUAUAAGCCUAUUCCAAAGCCAGUUCCAGUGUACAAGCCUAUACCAAAGCCAGUUCCAGUUCCAGUGUAUAAGCCUAUUCCAAAGCCAGUGUACAAGCCUAUUCCGAAGCCAGUGUAUAAGCCUAUUCCAAAGCCAGUUCCAGUGUAUAAGCCUAUUCCAAAGCCAGUUCCAGUGUAUAAGCCUAUUCCAAAACCAGUGUACAAGCCUAUUCCAAAGCCAGUUCCCGUGUAUAAGCCUAUACCAAAGCCAGUUCCCAUUUAUAAGCCAAUUCCCAUUUUUAAGCCAAUACCGAAACCAGUUCCCAUUUAUAAGCCAAUUCCCAUUUUUAAGCCAGUACCGAAACCAGUUCCCAUUUAUAAGCCAAUUCCAAUUUUUAAGCCAGUACCAACACCAAUUCCUUUUUUUAAGCCUAUACCAAAGCCUGUUCCUAUUGUUAAACCUAUUCCUAUUCCAGUUUUUAAACCCAUACCUAAACCAUUUCCAAUUGUUAAACCUAUCCCUUAAGCCAAAGUCAUUUUUUAAGCCAGAGACUUUCUUCAGAAAACCUAUUCCUAAACUUCACCCAAAUCUGAUAAAGCACGGUCUUCUACAUUUUCCAAUUCACAAUACAAUUC
rnacentral:lncRNA from 1 species